rnacentral:rRNA from 1 species
UACGUAGGUGGCGAGCGUUGUCCGGAUUUACUGGGCGUAAAGAGCGCGCAGGCGGUCGUACAAGUCGCGUGUGAAAGCCCCCGGCUCAACUGGGGAGGGUCACGCGAUACUGUUCGACUCGAAGGCAGGAGAGGGAAGUGGAAUUCCCGGUGUAGUGGUGAAAUGCGUAGAUAUCGGGAGGAACACCAGUGGCGAAGGCGACUUCCUGGCCUGUUCUUGACGCUGAGGCGCGAAAGCGAGGGUAGCAAACGGG